GCAUAUCAAUAAGCGGAGGAAAAGAAACCAACAGGGAUUGCCCUAGUAACGGCGAGUGAAGCGGCAACAGCUCAAAUUUGAAAUCUGGCUUCGGCCCGAGUUGUAAUUUGCAGAGGAAGCUUUAGGCGCGGCACCUCCUGAGUCCCCUGGAACGGGGCGCCACAGAGGGUGAGAGCCCCGUAUAGUUGGAUGCCUAGCCUGUGUAAAGCUCCUUCGACGAGUCGAGUAGUUUGGGAAUGCUGCUCAAAAUGGGAGGUAAAUUUCUUCUAAAGCUAAAUACCGGCCAGAGACCGAUAGCGCACAAGUAGAGUGAUCGAAAGAUGAAAAGCACUUUGAAAAGAGGGUUAAAUAGCACGUGAAAUUGUUGAAAGGGAAGCGCUUGUGACCAGACUUGCGCCGGGCUGAUCAUCCGGUGUUCUCACCGGUGCACUCUGCCCGGCUCAGCCCAGCAUCGGUUCUCGCGGGGGGAUAAAGGCCCUGGGAACGUAGCUCCUCCGGGAGUGUUAUAGCCCGGGGCGUAAUGCCCUCGCGGGGACCGAGGUUCGCGCUCUGCAAGGAUG
rnacentral:rRNA from 1 species